rnacentral:rRNA from 1 species
UACGUAGGGGGCAAGCGUUGUCCGGAUUUAUUGGGCGUAAAGAGCGUGUAGGCGGCUUUACAGGUCCGUUGUGAAAACUCGAGGCUCAACCUCGAGACGCCGGUGGAAACCGUAAGGCUAGAGUCCGGAAGAGGAGAGUGGAAUUCCUGGUGUAGCGGUGAAAUGCGCAGAUAUCAGGAGGAACACCCAUAGCGAAGGCAGCUUGCUGGGACGUUACUGACGCUAAGGCGCGAAAGCGUGGGGAGCGAACAGG